ACGUACGUACGGCCGUAC
rnacentral:misc_RNA from 1 species